rnacentral:rRNA from 1 species
CAGCCGCCGCGGGAAUACGUAGGGUGCGAGCGUUAAUCGGAAUUACUGGGCGUAAAGCGUGCGCAGGCGGUUCGUUAAGACAGAUGUGAAAUCCCCGGGCUUAACCUGGGAACUGCAUUUGUGACUGGCGAGCUAGAGUAUGGCAGAGGGGGGUAGAAUUCCACGUGUAGCAGUGAAAUGCGUAGAGAUGUGGAGGAAUACCGAUGGCGAAGGCAGCCCCCUGGGCCAAUACUGACGCUCACGCACGAAAGCGUGGGGAGCAAACAGGAUUAGAUACCCCUGUAGUCCCUGUCUCUUAUAC